UGGGGAAUUUUGCACAAUGGGGGAAACCCUGAUGCAGCGACGCCGCGUGAUUUAGAAGGCCUUCGGGUUGUAAAAAUCUUUUCUAUGGGAAGAAAAUGACAGUACCAUAGGAAUAAGGACCGGCUAAUUACGUGCCAGCAGCCGCGGUAAUACGUAAGGUCCGAGCGUUGUCCGGAAUCAUUGGGCGUAAAGGGUACGUAGGCGGGUAAGCAAGUUAGAAGUGAAAUCCUAUAGCUCAACUAUAGUAAGCUUUUAAAACUGCUCAUCUUGAGGUAUGGAAGGGAAAGUGGAAUUCAUAGUGUAGCGGUGAAAUGCGCAGAUAUUAGGAAGAAUACCGGUGGCGAAGGCGACUUUCUGGCCAUAACCUGACGCUGAGGUACGAAAGCGUGGGUAGCAAACAGG
rnacentral:rRNA from 1 species